UACGUAGGGGGCAAGCGUUGUCCGGAAUCAUUGGGCGUAAAGAGCGUGUAGGUGGCUCGGUAAGUCCGCUGUGAAAGUCCAGGGCUCAACCCUGGAAUGCCGGUGGAAACUGUCGAGCUAGAGUCCGGAAGAGGCGAGUGGAAUUCCUGGUGUAGCGGUGAAAUGCGCAGAUAUCAGGAGGAACACCAAUGGCGAAGGCAGCACUCUGGGACGGUACUGACGCUGAGACGCGAAAGCGUGGGGAGCGAACAGG
rnacentral:rRNA from 1 species